AUAUACACACUACUGUAUUUAAAAUAGAUAACCAAUAAAGACCUAUUGUAUAGCACAGGGAACUCUGCUCAAUAUUCUGUAAUAACUUAAAUGGGAGAAUAAUUUGAAGAAGAAUAGAUACAUACAUAUGAACAAUCACUUUCCUGUUCACUU